rnacentral:rRNA from 1 species
UACAACUUUCAGCAACGGAUCUCUUGGCUCUCGUAUCGAUGAAGAACGCAGCGAAAUGCGAUAAGUAAUGUGAAUUGCAGAAUUCAGUGAAUCAUCGAAUCUUUGAACGCAUCUUGCACCCUUUGGUAUUCCGAAGGGUAUGCCUGUUUGAGUGUCAUUAAAUUCUCAAU